AAGCUUAGGUGGCGGACGGGUGAGUAACGCGUGAGGAACCUGCCCUUCAGUGGGGAACAACAACUAGAAAUGGUUGCUAAUACCGCAUAAUGUCGGAGAGCCGCAUGACUUUCCGACCAAAGGAUUUAUUCGCUGAAGGAUGGCCUCGCGUCCGAUUAGGCAGUUGGUGAGGUAACGGCCCACCAAACCUACGAUCGGUAGCCGAACUGAGAGGUUGAUCGGCCACAUUGGGACUGAGACACGGCCCAGACUCCUACGGGAGGCAGCAGGUGGGGAAUAUUGGGCAAUGGGCGAAAAACGCCUGACCCAGCAACGCCGCGUGAAGGAUGACGGUCUUCGGAUUGUAAACUUCUUUAAUUGGGGAAGAACAAAAUGACCUACCCAAAGAAUAAGUCACGGCUAACUACGUGCCAGCCGCCGC
rnacentral:rRNA from 1 species